rnacentral:rRNA from 2 species
UGCAAGUCGUACGCACUGGCCCAACUGAUUGAUGGUGCUUGCACCUGAUUGACGAUGGAUUACCAGUGAGUGGCGGACGGGUGAGUAACACGUAGGUAACCUGCCCCGGAGCGGGGGAUAACAUUUGGAAACAGAUGCUAAUACCGCAUAACAACAAAAGCCACAUGGCUUUUGUUUGAAAGAUGGCUUUGGCUAUCACUCUGGGAUGGACCUGCGGUGCAUUAGCUAGUUGGUAAGGUAACGGCUUACCAAGGCGAUGAUGCAUAGCCGAGUUGAGAGACUGAUCGGCCACAAUGGAACUGAGACACGGUCCAUACUCCUACGGGAGGCAGCAGUAGGGAAUCUUCCACAAUGGGCGCAAGCCUGAUGGAGCAACACCGCGUGAGUGAAGAAGGGUUUCGGCUCGUAAAGCUCUGUUGUUGGAGAAGAACGUGCGUGAGAGUAACUGUUCACGCAGUGACGGUAUCCAACCAGAAAGUCACGGCUAACUACGUGCCAGCAGCCGCGGUAAUACGUAAGUGGCAAGCGUUAUCCGGAUUUAUUGGGCGUAAAGCGAGCGCAGGCGGUUGCUUAAGGUCUGAUGUGAAAGCCUUCCGCUUAACCAAAAAGUGCAUCGGAAACCGGGCGACUUGAGUGCAGAAGAGGACAGUGGAACUCCAUGUGUAGCGGUGGAAUGCGUAGAUAUAUGGAAGAACACCAGUGGCGAAGGCGGCUGUCUGGUCUGCAACUGACGCUGAGGCUCGAAAGCAUGGGUAGCGAACAGGAUUAGAUACCCUGGUAGUCCAUGCCGUAAACGAUGAGUGCUAGGUGUUGGAGGGUUUCCGCCCUUCAGUGCCGGAGCUAACGCAUUAAGCACUCCGCCUGGGGAGUACGACCGCAAGGUUGAAACUCAAAGGAAUUGACGGGGGCCCGCACAAGCGGUGGAGCAUGUGGUUUAAUUCGAAGCUACGCGAAGAACCUUACCAGGUCUUGACAUCUUGCGCUAACCUUAGAGAUAAGGCGUUCCCUUCGGGGACGCAAUGACAGGUGGUGCAUGGUCGUCGUCAGCUCGUGUCGUGAGAUGUUGGGUUAAGUCCCGCAACGAGCGCAACCCUUGUUACUAGUUGCCAGCAUUAAGUUGGGCACUCUAGUGAGACUGCCGGUGACAAACCGGAGGAAGGUGGGGACGACGUCAGAUCAUCAUGCCCCUUAUGACCUGGGCUACACACGUGCUACAAUGGACGGUACAACGAGUCGCAAGCUCGCGAGAGUAAGCUAAUCUCUUAAAGCCGUUCUCAGUUCGGACUGUAGGCUGCAACUCGCCUACACGAAGUCGGAAUCGCUAGUAAUCGCGGAUCAGCAUGCCGCGGUGAAUACGUUCCCGGGCCUUGUACACACCGCCCGUCACACCAUGGGAGUUUGUAACGCCCAAAGUCGGUGGCCUAACCUUUAUGGAGGGAGCCGC